rnacentral:SRP_RNA from 1 species
GGCCGGGCCCCGCGCGGCGAGGCACUGUGAACCAGGUCAGGACCGGAAGGUAGCAGCCUUAAGAGAUUAGCCUUAUGCCUUGAGACAAUCUCCGGUAUUU